rfam:Ovis aries breed Texel chromosome 2, whole genome shotgun sequence.
UCCCUGGUGGUUCAGUGGCUAAGACUCCUUGCUGCCAAUGCAGGAGGGCCCUGGUUCAAUCCCUGGUCGGGGAA